UGUUGUGCAAUUCAGAUCGUGUGGAGAAGGGAGGAAGAGAGGGGAGGUGGUUGAAAGGUGCUUGCUUGAGAUGGAAGGUGGACACCUGUUGCAAACUGCAAGAUGUCAUACUGUCAUAGUGUCAUGGAUGCUAGUGCUUGAGAUAUCUAACCAGGUCAGUGACAAACAGGGUAGGCAACAACCGGCCAACAAGUUCUGAAACUAACUACUUCUACAUGACACCACCAACCAUGGUAUGUAUGUAAGAAUCUAUCCUUGCAACAACAAAAACAGCUAUUUUCCCAAUCUGACAAAGGCUGGUUCAGAUCUGCAAAAAGUCUGAAUAUUUUCUUCUAUGAAUGCACAAGAAGACUCUGGAUAUCGAAAUGUUUCUGGGGAUCAGUCCAUUGUGAUUGUUUAAUUUGAGGUUGAUGUGAUGGAAAAGGACUGAAAUUUGGAUUCAAACUUUGGAUCUAAACUCAGCCUUAGUUAAAGAAGAAUGCCUUUUCUGGAUCUACAUCUCCUCUACCUGUGUUUCACAAGUGGACAGGAGGAUUACUGUAGUUGUUGUUCAAGCCUAAGCAUUUAGCUCCCUGUGACCUGAGCUGAUUAGUCCAAACUAAGUCUGGUUAGAUUUGUUUGUGCCUUUUCCAGUUGCCUCCAUGUGUUUUUUUAUACUACCAAUGAUAUUCUGACUUUUCUAA